CUGUGGCAUUGAGAGGUGACUGAAAGCAGAGGUCAGGGUAGAGCCAGGAGAGGGGCACAGCUCAGGACCCUGCGUGCCACAAGCACCGCAGCUGAGACCUCACCCGGAGAAACAGCGCUUGGAAAUGUGGCAAUGGGGGAGGUGUGUUCAUCCCCUCGGGGCCCCAAAACACCCUCAGAGCUGUUUGCACAAGCACUGUACUGCUACCUCUCCAGAGAUCCCCUAAAGGAUUUCAUCCAUGCUCUGCUGAUUUUUUUCCCUAGGUUCUCCACAGAAGAGGAUCGGUUUUCCCACAGGGACAGAAAGUUCUGGGUGCUCAGAAACAGAACACCGGGAUAUGACCAUGCAUAAGGAAGGGAACCCCGGGCACAGAGGAGUGCAGCAAGGCCACUCCAUCCUGCUGGGAGGACACGCAGGGCUGGGUCACAGCACUGUCCCUGCACCCAGCCUGGCACAGCAAAUGUGGUGGGACUGACCUGGAAGGGCAGCAAUGCCCACCCUACACAGCCCUGAGCCAGCUGUCCCUCAAAGGUCAGCCUAAACCUCUGCCACAGAACCUCCCGAGCACUCGGUGCUGUGUCCUGAGCACCCAGGACGUGCAACCCUGAAUCCCAAACUAACAGAGGGGUGUGAACCUCAGUAAUGCCCUUUCAUAACUCCACCAAGCAUAAGAGCUCCUCUUCCCCCAAACAUAAACAGGAUUUAAAAAAUAUUAUGAAAUUAAACAAAUCUGGAUUAAGAUGAGCACUUACAUUCUGGGGGAAGAAAAUUGACUUAAUGCCAGAUGAUGCAAGAUGGAGCUCCUGCUGGGGUAGGUAAUUACUGCUGGCUGUAAGGUGAUUUUUUUUCCCUAUCUGAUCUGAGGAGAAACAUUGUAUCCAAUUCCUUUGACACACUUGCAAAUGGUUUUAAACACUUCAGGAGUGAAAGAGCUGAGAGCUUCUGUUUGCAUUCCUAAAAAGGCACAUGAGCAUGUUUUUUGGCUGGUUUCACUGGGGCAGGUAGGGCAGCUGGGCAGGCUGCUCAGAAGAAGUAGCAAGCUGUACCGUUUGUUGUCCUCUCUGCAACAGUGUCACACUGCAGUUUUCCUUGUUUCCAUAAAUAAAUAGAAACAAAUGUAGACCAAGUUCUGAGUUCCUUAGCAUUUUCUCUCUGGCUUGUGGAUCUGCAGAGCACAUACUUUUAUUAUGACUACAGAAACUUGGCAAUUUCAGCUUACCACCCCUUUCAGAAGGGACAGCUAAAAAAAUCAUUUAAAAUGCUGCCAAACCAGGUAUAUUUAGAAGACCAGAGUUUUUUUCAGAGAGACAAUUGUAAGUAGAGUUUCAUUUGAAAUAUAAUGUCCUAAGCACAUGAAAUACCUUGGCUCUGCAUGUUUAGUUGAGAGUCUGAAAUGAAGUAUUUGAUGCUAAGUGAAAGCUGUUGCCUGGAAACAAGAUAAAACAGUGAAAACACAAUUGUUUGAACUAAGAAAGAACAUUACCAUCAGCAGAGCCAGCACUAGUUUUAGCUGGAUCAGAUUUAUUAAGCAAAUUCAGAUUCUAGUACCAGAAAGGCCCUACAUAUCUUCAAGUGUGUGGGGUCAGCCUCUCCUGUUUCUGUUUAUUCUGGCCGCAGAAGGUUUCUUUCAAACAGAAUAAAAAAAAAAAUGAAGUACCCGACUUCACUUCCAUCCUCUGCGGAAGGAAAAAAACAGAAGGCCACAAGAUGGCACUGGUCAAACACUCAAGAUAUUAACGGAGAGUUGGCUGAUGAGCACAGAUGAUGCCCAAGCCCAGUUUGUGGGGUUAUGUCUGUGUCCCACACGUGUGCCCGCAGGUCUGGUGAACCUUCUCUAAUAGGUUGAUGCCAGGUGCAGAAACACCAAAAGGUUUAGCUACGGUCAGAACCAUCAGCAGAGGCAACUGAGCAGCCAAUUCCUGUGAUGGCACAGGAUGGGCCCUGGGCAUUCCUCCCUCAGGGAGACAGUGCUGGGGCUCAGCCCUCCGUGGGCAGGUUCGGUGCCGUGCCCUGGCACAGAGCGGGCAGGUUCGGUGCCGUGCCCCUGGCACAGAGCGGGCAGGUUCGGUGCCGUGCCCCUGGCACAGAGCGGGCAGGUUCGGUGCCGUGCCCCUGGCACAGAGCGGGCAGGUUCGGUGCCGUGCCCUGGCACAGAGCGGGCAGGUUCGGUGCCGUGCCC